AUACGUAGGGGGCGAGCGUUGUCCGGAAUGAUUGGGCGUAAAGGGCGCGUAGGCGGCCCGGUAAGUCUGGAGUGAAAGUCCUGUUUUUAAGAUGGGAAUUGCUUUGGAUACUGUCGGGCUUGAGUGCAGGAGCGGUAAGUGGAAUUCCCAGUGUAGCGGUGAACUGCGUAGAGAUUGGGAGGAACACCAGUGGCGAAGGCGACUUACUGGACUGUAACUGACACUGAGGCGCGAAAGUGUGGGGAGCAAACAGGAUUAGAUACCCUGGUAGUCCACACUGUAAACGAUGAAUGCUAGGUGUAGGGGGUAUCGACCCCUUCUGUGCCGCAGUCAACACAAUAAGCAUUCCGCCUGGGGAGUACGGCCGCAAGGUUGAAACUCAAAUGAAUUGACGGGG
rnacentral:rRNA from 1 species